rnacentral:rRNA from 1 species
UACAGAGGUCUCAACCGUUGUUCGGAUUCAUUGGGCGUAAAGGGUGCGUAGGCGGUCGCGCAAGUCGGAUGUGAAAUCUCAGGGCUCAACCCUGAAACUGCAUUCGAUACUGCGUGGCUAGAGUGCUGGAGAGGAGACUGGAAUUUACGGUGUAGCAGUGAAAUGCGUAGAUAUCGGAAGGAAGACCAGUGGCGAAGGCGAGUCUCUGGACAGGAACUGACGCUGAGGCACGAAGGCCAGGGGAGCAAACGGG